GCGGGGCGGUCGCCAUCUUGGCUGAGGGAUGCCGGGCUCCGCUCUGUGGGCGGGAGGCGGCGGCGGGACGGCCUCGUCCUGCGGCCCCCGGGUGGCCCGGCACGGCCCAGGGGGGCCCGUCCUACCGCCCCGGGGAGCCAGACACGGCCCAGGAGCUCUUGCUGGAGGAGCCGACCCAGCUGACUGCGGCGCUUGCUUUCCUUCGCCGGUCUGCGGCUGAGGCGAGCCCGAGGAGCAGAGGAGCUUUUCCAGGACUGGGCUACCUCCACAAUGCUCUAAAGAGAGGUCUUUAAGCAUCAUGCGGAAAACAAUCACCAGCAACAGAUAAACAAAUGCAGCAGUCUCCCUUUGACGUUGAGAUACACAGAGCAUGAAGCAGCCCUGAUUCCAAAGAGCCUGAAGGCUGGCACACCCUCAAUGAAAAAUGGAUACAGGUCUGCAGCCUUUCGAGCCAUUUAGGCUUUAAAAGAUUCGCAGUUAAAACUCAUUUCUGUAUUGCUCAAGAAAGAACGCUGAACAGCUUUCAGUCUCAACUGCAAUUCUUGAGAUCUUCAGUGGAGCACAGCAACUAUUUUAUUUUCUCCAGACUCUCAGGAGAUGGAGGGACACCGUGCCAAGCAAGGGGAGAGAAAAGGCAAGCACUCCAAGUCAGCAAGAGACCUUGUGAAACCACAGUAUUUUUUUUUUUUUUACUCACUUUCAUUAUUCUAAAAUAGAUGCCAAGCUAUUGCCUCUUAAACUUGGAAUCAUUUAGUAGCAUUACAUUUCUUACAGACAGGAAAAAGUUGUUAUAGUUCUCCAAACAGCAGGGAAGUGCACUUGAUCACAUUCCAGAUGUGUGAUAACCACCACCAUUAAGCACAAUAAAAGGAAUUUUAUCCUAUAUGUUAGUACAGGAAAUCCACUACAAAGUUGGGUGGGUUUUUUGGUUUUGUUUUAAACCUUAAGUUCAAUCUGACAUGGUUCCACACAUGAAAAUAAAUAAACUCAACAGCUGGAUUAUGCAUACAUUACCUCAUAAUAGGCAUGCUAAUUGAAUGUUGUAUGGAGCGUAUACUAAAUGCCAGCAUUAAGAAAAAAGAAAGCGAGAAGUUAGUUUCAGUGAUAGACUGAGAAGAAAUUGGCUUAGAAAGCUGACUUCUGGAUACAAUUUUUGGUAAAUAGCCAGUCUUAUACAGUCUUAUAUAGUAACUGCUUGGGUUUGCUUUUUUAAAUUGCUUAGCCAUGCACACACACACCACAGAGCAAAAGCUGCAACAACUUUUUUCCUUUUCAGAAAGAUUCAAGUGCCAUGCUUGUUAGUACACAUUCUGCUUAUUCGCAACAGUCUGUCUGCUCAUUAAGUUUCUCAAGCAGUGAGACACAUGCUGCAAUUACAGUUUUGACAAUAUCAAGUAGAAAGUGAACACUCAAGAGUCUUACCAAUCAACUCAUCUUCCUACUGAAAGAAUUAUUCCUAUAUUCAGAAGGCUUCCAUUUCAAGUCAGUGUAAGAUUUCCAUACUCAUCAAUACAAAUUAUCUACUUGUCAAUAUAGAUUAUCUAGCAAGUGCAGUCACAUGAAUCUAUAUUCAAGGUCAGGUUUAUGCUGAGGGUAGGGAGAAAAUCCUAGUCUAAACCAUGUUCUGAAAUUCAGGGAGGAUUUCUGUAACCAGCAGUGUUGCUAUAUAGUUACUGUUUGUUUAGUGAUAACACACACCUACUCCUAGAAGGUGAAUGGAUAUAGAUUAAGGAGCUCCCAAAUAACUUUGAGACCAUCUGGAAUGUAAUUUAGUUCCGUAUUUUAGAAAAAUCCCUGUUUACUCUUGAUACAAUUUAGUCUUAAAUGUUUCUUGUCAAAUACCAUAAGUUAGAAAAACUUACUUGGAAUGUCAAAUUUUGACUGGGCUUUACGUCUUUCAAGAGAAUAUUUUCCAGGCAAUUGCUGGGGGACCAGGGGGAAAAACCUCACAUUUGAUGCACCUCCAAAACUCCAAUUAGUAUUUCAGCACAAUGGAAGAUACAUAAACAGAAGGACAAAGGUUCCAUGCUCAUUGCAGAACGAGUUUUAAGAGAUUUUUUUGGGAAAGCUCAUCAGUAGAAUAGAGUGGUAGAAAAAAACCAUACACAUGUGAAAAGUUCCCUUAAGGCUGGGAUCCCUUAAGGCAGAUGCACAACCGAAGGUUGGUUUGUAGGUACAGCGUGCUGGGAAUCAGGUACGCGAAGGUGAGACGUUGCCCUGACACACAUCAGUAGUGUGUGGCCAUGUUUCAUCCCCUUCCCCAGCCCCAUUUCUGCUGCAUUUCACCUUCACAGAUGGUUUGGCUUCC